rnacentral:rRNA from 1 species
AACGAACGCUGGCGGCGUGUUUAAGACAUGCAAGUCGCACGGUGUCAUUUUGGUAGCAAUACUUGAAUGGCAUAGUGGCGCACGGGUGAGUAACACGUGAAUUACAUGCCCUGUAGAGGGGGAUAGCGCAGGGAAACUUGGAUUAAUACCCCAUGGUCUCGCAAGAGUAAAGGUGGCCGCAAGGCUGUCGCUACAGGAGUGGUUCGCGCCCUAUCAGCUUGUUGGCGGGGUAACGGCCCACCAAGGCUACGACGGGUACCUGGUCUGAGAGGACGAUCAGGCACACUGGAACUUAGACACGGUCCAGACACCUACGGGUGGCAGCAGUCGAGAAUAAUUCACAAUGGGGGCAACCCUGAUGGUGCAACGCCGCGUGGAGGAUGACGGUCUUCGGAUUGUAAACUCCUGUCAUCCGGGAGUAAGACCUGGGAGUUAAUAGCUCACAGGGUUGAUAGUACCGGAAGAGGAAGGGACGGCUAACUUCGUGCCAGCCGCCGCCGUAAUAC